AUUGAACGCUGGCGGCAGGCCUAACACAUGCAAGUCGAGCGAGCGGCGGACGGGUGAGGAAUGUAUGGGGACUGCCCGCUAGAGGGGGAUAACUACUGGAAACGGUAGCUAAUACCGCAUACUAUCGGAUAACCCAUAUGGGAUUAGCUAGUAGGUGAGGUAAUGGCUCACCUAGGCGACGAUCCCUAGCUGGUCUGAGAGGAUGAUCAGCCACACGUGGACUGAGACACGGUCCAGACGCCUACGGAGGCAGUAGUGGGGAAUAGUGGAAAAUGGGCGCAAGCCGGAUGCAGCCAUGCGGCGUGUAGGAAGAAGGUCUUGGGAUUGUAAAGUACUUUAAGUUGGGAGGCGUUACCAACAGAAUAAGCACCGGCUAACUCCGUGCCAGCAGCCGCGGUAAUAC
rnacentral:rRNA from 1 species